rnacentral:rRNA from 1 species
CCUACGGGAGGCAGCAGUAGGGAAUAUUGGGCAAUGGAGGCAACUCUGACCCAGCCAUGCCGCGUGCAGGAAGACGGUCCUCUGGAUUGUAAACUGCUUUUGAAUGGGAAGAAUGUGCUCCUUGCGAGGGGUAAUGACGGUACCAUUAGAAUAAGCCACGGCUAACUACGUGCCAGCAGCCGCGGUAAUACGUAGGUGGCGAGCGUUAUCCGGAUUUAUUGGGUUUAAAGGGUGCGUAGGCGGCUUAAUAAGUCGGUGGUUAAAAGUAGCAGCUUAACUGUUUUACAUGCCAUCGAUACUGUUGAGCUUGAGAUAUUUGGAGGCAGCUAGAAUUUCCGGUGUAGCGGUGAAAUGCAUAGAUACCGGAAGGAAUACCAAUUGCGAAGGCAGGUUGCUACGAAUAAACUGACGCUGAUGCACGAAAGCGUGGGGAUCAAACAGGAUUAGAUACCCUGGUAGUCCACGCCGUAAACGAUGAUUACUAGUUGUUGGGGUUUAAGCCUCAGUGACCAAGGGAAACCGAUAAGUAAUCCACCUGGGGAGUACGCCGGCAACGGUGAAACUUAAAUGAAUUGACGG